rnacentral:rRNA from 1 species
GACGAACGCUGGCGGCGUGCUUAACACAUGCAAGUCGAACGAUGAACCCGGAGCUUGCUCUGGGGGAUUAGUGGCGAACGGGUGAGUAACACGUGAGUAACCUGCCCUGGACUCUGGGAUAAGCGUUGGAAACGACGUCUAAUACCGGAUAGGACCUUGGAUCGCAUGAUCUGGGGUGGAAAGUUUUUUCGGUCUGGGAUGGACUCGCGGCCUAUCAGCUUGUUGGUGAGGUAAUGGCUCACCAAGGCGUCGACGGGUAGCCGGCCUGAGAGGGUGACCGGCCACACUGGGACUGAGACACGGCCCAGACUCCUACGGGAGGCAGCAGUGGGGAAUAUUUCACAAUGGGCGAAAGCCUGAUGCAGCAACGCCGCGUGCGGGAUGACGGCCGUCGGGUUGUAAACCGCUUUUAGUAGGGAAGAAGGGCUUCGGCUUGACGGUACCUGCAGAAAAAGGACCGGCUAACUACGUG